rnacentral:rRNA from 1 species
AAUAGCGUAUAUUAAGUUGUUGCAGUUAAAAGCUCGUAGUUGAAUUUCGGGAUUAGUACACUGGUCGUGCCAUCGGUAUGUACUGGUGUUACUGGUUCCUACCUUCUGACGAACUGUCAUGUCAUUAAUUUGGUGUGGCGGGAAUCAGGACUGUACUUUGAAAAAUUAGAGUGUUUAAAGCAGGCUCGCGCUUGAAUACAUUAGCAUGGAAUAAUGAAAUAGGACGUUCGAUCCUAUUUUGUUAGGUUUCUAGGAUUGACGUAAUGAUUAAUAGGGAUAGUUGGGGGCAUUAGUAUUCAAUUGUCAGAGGUGAAAUUCUUGGAUUUAUUGAAGACUAACUACUGCGAAAGCAUUUGCCAAGGAUGUUUUCAUUAAUCAAGAACGAAAGUUAGGGGGAUCGAAGACGAUCAGAUACCGUCGUAGUCUUAACCAUAAACUAUGCCGACUAGGGAUCGGAUGAUGUUAUUUUUUAAUGACUCAUUCGGCGCCUUACG